rnacentral:rRNA from 1 species
UACGUAGGGGGCUAGCGUUGUCCGGAAUCAUUGGGCGUAAAGAGCGUGUAGGCGGCCCGGUAAGUCCGCUGUGAAAGUCGGGGGCUCAACCCUCGAAUGCCGGUGGAUACUGUCGGGCUAGAGUGCGGAAGAGGAGAGUGGAAUUCCUGGUGUAGCGGUGAAAUGCGUAGAGAUCAGGAGGAACACCCAUGGCGAAGGCAGCUCUCUGGUCGACCUCUGACGCUGAGACGCGAAAGCGUGGGGAGCGAACGGG